AUGCAAUUAGGGUUUUCGUUCAUCUUCUUCACAGUCUAUAAAACGCCGCCCCCAACAUCUCGAUACAGUAUGCUUCCAAAAAAUAGAGUGAAGCCAAUUUGCAGAGCAAGGGCGUCUAUGAUAAUAAUGGCGUGAAUUGCAUUGAAGGUUGGCAAUACUAACGUUAGCGAUUCUCCGUGCCUGGCAAAUCUUUUGGUUUUGAUCAUGGCCUCGAACAAGUCGCUACAUUCAUUCGAUCUCUUAUUCUUCUUCUGUUUCUCUUUUUUUAUGAGUUAACAUUCUCGUAGAUAAGUAGUUUGUUAAUCUAUAUUUCCGACGAAAUCUUCUAAUCUCUGCUGCUUUCAUUCAAAAAAUUUUAAAAUUAGACCUAGAAGGUCGAAUCUGAACUCGUACUCUACUAAAUAAUAUUUAGUACAGUUGCGGAUCUAAAAGAUUUCGUGAUGUUUAGCCUUUUUUUCGAAUUCGUUCGUCAUCCGUAGUUUCAAAAUCUUCGGUAAUUCAUCUGUAGUAAGUUUUUUGUUCUUCUGUUAUAGCCGUUUCUUAUUGUUCAAUGUUUCUGCUGGUUUCUCUCUCGUUGAUUCUUCCUUCUAACUUGGUUUCUCAUCCAUAAUUCUUGCUUUUGAACCUUUCGAUUUUUCGAAUUCGUUAUUUGUACAAAUCGUUUUCAAGUCUUACUACUUUCAAUUUCUGGUCUCUCAGAUGUUGUUUCUUAUUUCUCAAAGUUUUUCUUGUCUCCGUAGAUUUUCGAUAUUUCCAUUGAAUUUAGAAUUGAGAUGGAUCAUUUGAGUUGUUGGAUUAGUGGAUGGAAUGUGUGGAUUUUCCUUUGAUUGAGAGUCAUCUAUUGUAGAUUAUAUCGUUCAAUGCUCAAAUGAUCUCUUCUGUCUGGAGGUUGUGAAGGAAAAUGACGUGAAAGAGGGCUGAUUCUACAAUGUAAUCAAUGGAAAUGCUAAUAUAGAUAAUUUCUCCACUUGAAAAUUGAA